UUAUCCAGUUUAUAGAGUUGGAUUUAUUAUCUUCAAUGCAUUAUCUAAUAAAUAGUUACAAUCAUUUCCAUCUAUAUAGCUCAUUCUUAGGUGGGAGUUGUGUGGCAGUUAUGAGCUAAACUUACAUAAAAUGUGUUUUUUUUUACAUUAUGAAUAAUGUUCUUCCCUACAAGCCUUAAUUUUCCCAGCCCUGUGUAGCUUUCCAUGUUAAGAGUACAUUCAUAUGUAUUCAAUCACUGAAAAAAUCCCGAAGUAUGUGAGUUAUGUAUAUGUAAACGAGCUAUGCAUUUGCAUUCGGCCUGAGAUUUCAUGGGUUGGACGGCAUUCAUACUUGCACCAGUGAUGAAUGCAUAAAUCUACCGCACUGGGCACAUAGCUAUAGUAAUAAAUCCCAUCCCGCCGAACCCUGAGUUAUUCUCGAGCAGAGGGUGAUAACAUCUAUCCUUUAGCCGCUGAAAUGCUUCAGCUGUGAAAAGCGAAAUGCGAUAGACGACGCGAUGCAAUCGAUCUCUGCGAUAUUUGAAGGGUGGGAAGCCUGUUGGGUAAAGGGGGAGGGAAUUUUCUCCUUUAAUGGGGUAUGACAUUAAAAUGCACAGCGGUAAUAAUAUUUUACCAUUUGACUGCCAAACAGUAUAUUCCGAGGGACGAAAAUCUAGUGAAAUUUCAUCGAAGCAAAUUAUGCUAACAUGCUAAAAAUACUUCCGACUGGUGCUUGUGCAAAAAAAGCAUGUCAAAUUAUACAAGCAGAACUAAAUAAAUAUAAUUUACAUGCACAAGGAGGUGUAAAAAUAUGCACUACUUUUAAAAGCAUCUAUUUACAACAGUAAUAUUCCAGCUAACACAUUUUAGCCCCUAAAAACUGCAUAUUAAUGCUGUUCUAGAAAUGUCUUCUGUGACAGUGGAAUGAAAAUAAUUAGUUAUGAUUACCCCGUGUCACCAGAUAACAAUGAUCCACAAUGUGAGUUUUGUUUUCAAGAAAAUAUAUUGUCAUCCAAAAAUCGCAGGAUCAUCUUUCCUUGGCUAGUUCCAAGGAAAAGAUCAGUCGGCCCAUUUUGUGCGACACGACAGGUUGGUUCUGGAAACUAGACACUGGGUAGGUAUUUGCAGGGAAGAAUAGAGGGAUUGUUGGGGUUGUUGCCGUCUGGUUUCAGAGUACAGAAUCUCGUUAACCUUUCGAUUCUGGCACAGGGCAGGCUGGCAGCGGGACAGGUUGGCACCUGCUGCUGAUGUGCCAAGCUAAAGGCCCCCUGACAGCGUCGGUCCAGCCCCGGACCCUUAACCACCAUCGCUGCCUUACCUGAAACCCCAGGAGGCAGGAAGGUGACAACCGGGCCAUCCAUGUGACAAGGGGGCGGCGGUCCCUCCCAGUCUCAGCACUGCAGGAAUAGACCAGUGGUACUCCGCUCCAGAGCUCUAACUCGUUGUUCCCGCCUGUCUCCUUUCAUUAUCCCGGAUCAGCUCAACCUCCCGGAACUCAGAGCUGGGUCAUUAACUGGAAACUUUAUGCAUACUUUUUGGAUAGUGAGAGUUUAGGUCCUGGAACGCUGAACAAGGCUCAUAAAUCAAAAUUUAAUUUCUAGUCAUGUCCCAUUGGAUCCAUCGGUAAAGCGAAAUUACUCACAUUCUCGAUAAUAAUCUCUGUAAAAAAAGCCUUCGAUUCCUUUUGCGGCCCCAGUGGACAUGCUUGUCUGAUAUCUUCCACCACUUUUUUGGGCUAUAAUUGUGAAUAAAAAACAAUUCGUCCUUGGA